rnacentral:rRNA from 1 species
GAUGAACGCUGGCGGCGUGCCUAAUACAUGCAAGUCGAGCGAACGGACGAGAAGCUUGCUUCUCUGAUGUUAGCGGCGGACGGGUGAGUAACACGUGGAUAACCUACCUAUAAGACUGGGAUAACUUCGGGAAACCGGAGCUAAUACCGGAUAAUAUUUUGAACCGCAUGGUUCAAAAGUGAAAGACGGUCUUGCUGUCACUUAUAGAUGGAUCCGCGCUGCAUUAGCUAGUUGGUAAGGUAACGGCUUACCAAGGCAACGAUGCAUAGCCGACCUGAGAGGGUGAUCGGCCACACUGGAACUGAGACACGGUCCAGACUCCUACGGGAGGCAGCAGUAGGGAAUCUUCCGCAAUGGGCGAAAGCCUGACGGAGCAACGCCGCGUGAGUGAUGAAGGUCUUCGGAUCGUAAAACUCUGUUAUUAGGGAAGAACAUAUGUGUAAGUAACUGUGCACAUCUUGACGGUACCUAAUCAGAAAGCCACGGCUAACUACGUGCCAGCAGCCGCGGUAAUACGUAGGUGGCAAGCGUUAUCCGGAAUUAUUGGGCGUAAAGCGCGCGUAGGCGGUUUUUUAAGUCUGAUGUGAAAGCCCACGGCUCAACCGUGGAGGGUCAUUGGAAACUGGAAAACUUGAGUGCAGAAGAGGAAAGUGGAAUUCCAUGUGUAGCGGUGAAAUGCGCAGAGAUAUGGAGGAACACCAGUGGCGAAGGCGACUUUCUGGUCUGUAACUGACGCUGAUGUGCGAAAGCGUGGGGAUCAAACAGGAUUAGAUACCCUGGUAGUCCACGCCGUAAACGAUGAGUGCUAAGUGUUAGGGGGUUUCCGCCCCUUAGUGCUGCAGCUAACGCAUUAAGCACUCCGCCUGGGGAGUACGACCGCAAGGUUGAAACUCAAAGGAAUUGACGGGGACCCGCACAAGCGGUGGAGCAUGUGGUUUAAUUCGAAGCAACGCGAAGAACCUUACCAAAUCUUGACAUCCUUUGACAACUCUAGAGAUAGAGCUUUCCCCUUCGGGGGACAAAGUGACAGGUGGUGCAUGGUUGUCGUCAGCUCGUGUCGUGAGAUGUUGGGUUAAGUCCCGCAACGAGCGCAACCCUUAAGCUUAGUUGCCAUCAUUAAGUUGGGCACUCUAAGUUGACUGCCGGUGACAAACCGGAGGAAGGUGGAGAUGACGUCAAAUCAUCAUGCCCCUUAUGAUUUGGGCUACACACGUGCUACAAUGGACAAUACAAAGGGCAGCGAAACCGCGAGGUCAAGCAAAUCCCAUAAAGUUGUUCUCAGUUCGGAUUGUAGUCUGCAACUCGACUACAUGAAGCUGGAAUCGCUAGUAAUCGUAGAUCAGCAUGCUACGGUGAAUACGUUCCCGGGUCU